CAGCCGCGGUAAUACGAAGGGGGCUAGCGUUGCUCGGAAUUACUGGGCGUAAAGGGCGCGUAGGCGGACAUUUAAGUCAGGGGUGAAAUCCCGGGGCUCAACCCCGGAACUGCCUUUGAUACUGGGUGUCUUGAGUCCGAGAGAGGUGAGUGGAAUUCCGAGUGUAGAGGUGAAAUUCGUAGAUAUUCGGAGGAACACCAGUGGCGAAGGCGGCUCACUGGCUCGGUACUGACGCUGAGGUGCGAAAGCGUGGGGAGCAAAC
rnacentral:rRNA from 1 species